CCGUAUGCAAUGAUGAUUUUGUCAAUAUUAAGCAUAGUUCAUCUGAUUCCUGAUGACAAAUUACAAUCAUUUGUCUUUCGCUCCCAUCUGAUCUGCAUACUC
rnacentral:snoRNA from 1 species